CACGUAGGAGACUAGCGUUAUCCGGAUUUACUGGGCGUAAAGCGCGUGCAGGUGGCUCGGAAAGUUCGAUGUGAAAGCUCCCGGCUUAACUGGGAGAGGUCGUUGAAUACUUUCGGGCUAGAGGAUGGGAGAGGGAGGCGGAAUUCCGGGUGUAGUGGUGAAAUGCGUAGAUAUCCGGAGGAACACCAGUGGCGAAAGCGGCCUCCUGGCCCAUUUCUGACACUCAGACGCGAAAGCUAGGGUAGCAAACGGGAUUAGAGACCCCGGUAGUCCUAGCUGUAAACGAUGUAGACUUGGCGUUGGCGGGUUCAAAUCCGUCAGUGCCGAAGCUAACGCGAUAAGUCUACCGCCUGGGGACUACGGCCGCAAGGUUAAA
rnacentral:rRNA from 1 species